CGCGUAGGCGGGUUUCCAAGUCUGUGGUGAAAGCCUCCAGCUUAACUGGAGAAGUGCCGUGGAUACUGGAAGUCUCGAGGAGGGUAGGGGCAUCUGGAACUGCCGGUGGAGCGGUGAAAUGCGUUGAUAUCGGCAGGAACUCCGAUGGCGAAGGCAAGGUGCUGGACCCUUUCUGACGCUGAGGCGCGAAAGCCAGGGGAGCAAACG
rnacentral:rRNA from 1 species